rnacentral:rRNA from 1 species
CCUACGGGAGGCAGCAGUAGGGAAUCUUCCGCAAUGGACGAAAGUCUGACGGAGCAACGCCGCGUGAGUGAUGAAGGUUUUCGGAUCGUAAAGCUCUGUUGUUAGGGAAGAACAAGUGCCGUUCAAAUAGGGCGGCACCUUGACGGUACCUAACCAGAAAGCCACGGCUAACUACGUGCCAGCAGCCGCGGUAAUACGUAGGUGGCAAGCGUUGUCCGGAAUUAUUGGGCGUAAAGGGCUCGCAGGCGGUUUCUUAAGUCUGAUGUGAAAGCCCCCGGCUCAACCGGGGAGGGUCAUUGGAAACUGGGGAACUUGAGUGCAGAAGAGGAGAGUGGAAUUCCACGUGUAGCGGUGAAAUGCGUAGAGAUGUGGAGGAACACCAGUGGCGAAGGCGACUCUCUGGUCUGUAACUGACGCUGAGGAGCGAAAGCGUGGGGAGCGAACAGGAUUAGAUACCCUGGUAGUCCACGCCGUAAACGAUGAGUGCUAAGUGUUAGGGGGUUUCCGCCCCUUAGUGCUGCAGCUAACGCAUUAAGCACUCCGCCUGGGGAGUACGGUCGCAAGACUGAAACUCAAAGGAAUUGACGGGGGCCCGCACAAGCGGUGGAGCAUGUGGUUUAAUUCGAAGCAACGCGAAGAACCUUAC